AAAGUCCUUCAAUUGGAUGUUUUUCUACGAUUAUGGAUCUAGAGGAAAAAAUGUUGUUUUCACAUCAUUGUUUUAAUCCAAUGUUCAGCUUUCAUGCUAUAAGCUUUACUGCUUUAGACUGAACAUUCGUAUCAAUUGAAUCAAUGUGGCCUUACAUGUAGUGCCGAUACUGUUAAAUUUGUAGAUAUCCUAUUUUAUUCAGCAGUAACUUUAUUUUCUUUUCACUUCUUUUUUAUAAAUGUCAUGCUCAAUAGGUAAUGUCAUAGCAGCUGAAUUUCUUCAUAACUGGCAUAGGCAGUUAUCUUCUUAUGUGCUGUUAUUUCUAGAGCAAUUGUUUUGGAGACACGGGAGAAGACUUGGGGCGACGUAGCAAUGUGUGGGGCGGGCGGAGCAUCGGGAAAGGCCACAGCAACACCCGCGCUUUAAUCAAUUACGAUGGCCUCUGAUCGAACCAUACUAAGCAAGUGUAAAGGAAUUGACAAAGUGCAAAAUUGUUCAAAGAAAUAUGACUUGGGACGACGUAGCAGUGUGUGGGGCGGGCAGAGCGCCGGGAAAGGCCACAGCAACACCUACGCUUCAAUCGAUUACGAUGGCCUCUGACCGAACCAUACUAAGCCAAUGUAAAGGAAUUGACAAAGUGCAAAAGUGUUCAAAGAAAUAUGGCGGGUGGUCCUACUUCUCAAAAUAGAGGGAGAACUCAGUUGUGCCAUUUUAUCCAACUAUAUUCAAACAUGUGCCUUUUUUGUCAAAGACAAAGAAAAGUGUACUAUGAAAGGAAAUGUGUGCCAUUUUUAUCAAAUGCCUCCUAUCCCA